rnacentral:lncRNA from 1 species
CCCCCUUUUAGCCAAAAGAGAUCGUAAAGAUCUCACUUUUACAAAACCCCCAAUUUCCUUCCCUUAGAUUAGGAAUCUAGGGUGGCCGAAAAUCGCUUCCGCUGCUCUUCCACCUUCAACCACCGUCCACCUACCCAUUGAUCACCGUUGACCACCGGCUGAUAAUCAUCUCCGCCGGCCGGAGUUUAUGAAAUUGCCCCAAACCACAUUUGUUCUUCUCCUCCUCUACACCCUCUCGUUAAGAUCCAGUCCCAAUUCUUACCCAACCACCACCAGAAUCGAAAUCCUAGCCUGUUAUGCCUCUUUUCAAUUUUACUCACAACUGUUGAUCACAUGACCUUGAAGCCUACACCAUCUGAUAGAAUUCACAAAGAUAUAUGUAGUGGUGUUGGUAUUAGGUCAUUUCACGAUCAUCGGCGCCGAUCAACUCAUCGUUGACCGACCAAAAUUCAUGCAAUACCUUCGUCACCACACUCGUUUGACUCCCAUGAGUCUUUCUUCCAAGAAGAUCCAUCAGGAUUCUAAAUCCAAGACGGAUCUCUUGGCGGAAAGACCUUGGAGGUCGAACAAAUCAAUGUCUGCCACCUAUGUUCUUUUCGGGCUCCUCCUAAUCUUAAAUGGUAUAUCCUAAAUCUCCAGUUCUUUUCUUACUUAUCUUGCACUGUUUGAAUGUGAUCUCAUGCGACCAUGUGUUUUCCUGUCAUUCAAUUUGUUUGCACAUUGGGUAUUAGGUUUUCUUUCUAGUUAUGGUUUGUUUGUUCCAAAUUAGUUGAUGAAAUCAAAUUGCAUGUUAAUUGACAAGUCUGGUAAUUUUUUAUCUAAUUGUGUGCAUUUAAGAUAAUUUAAAUUAAGUAGCUUGAUUGAUUAUUAGCAGCGUGAUUAUUGUCUAACUUUUGUUUAUUUAAUCAUAUGUUUACUUGUAGAAUUUAUUUAGUUUGGAAGUUAAGUCAAGUAUUAGAUUUUGAUGGAAGGAUUUGGGAAUUGAAACUAGUAAGUUGGGCCUGUUUUGAACAUCGGGCAGGCCCUGUAAUAAUCAAUUGGGCAUUUUGACCUUCUGGGUCAAACAUGAGGAAGAUCUAAAAUCAUUUUGGCCUAUUAUUGGGAUCAGAUGAUGUAAGAAGUAUAAAGAAAGAGAGUAAAAGGGAGGAGUGAGAAAACAUAAGCUUUUAGAAGGGAAUGAGUAAGCUAAAAUAAAUAAGAGAUGGAUUUCGGGGCUAAUUUAGAAAAAUUACCGAGGUAAUCUUAGAGGAAGCGGCUAGGAAUGAACUUGGGGAAUUUGUUUGGCUAAAGUACAUGGGCUUCCUAGAAUUAAGGUCAGAAGAAGGAAAUGCGGGGGAGAGCGACAGCUGGUAAUAAUUCUAUUGUCCAGAGGGCAUAGAAUCCUCUAGAAAUAAUUAUAGGGGGUUAAAAAGGGAACAAACAAAAAAUAGAAAACCCUAGAGUUAGCCUAUAAAUAUACCCAUUCUCUCAUUUGAGAGGGAGGAACAAGCAUUUUUAGAAGAAGUUCUUUUAUUCUGAAAAAUCCUUAGGAGAAAAAGAGGAACAUCAGUAGUUUUUUUUUCUCUAAAACCCUGCUAUUCUUCUCUGGGUUUUUUGAAGUCGAGUUUCUUGGCUUGAAUUGGAUCAUGUGAGUCUAAAAUCAGGGUUUCAAGAUUUGGAUUCUUGCUGUUGAAGGUGUGUUUUGCUGAACUCCAUCCUUUCUUGCCUUGAUUUGGCACCUCUGGUUUUGCUUGCUCUUGCUCAUUAGGUAAACACAUGGCACUUUGUAGAUAUAUUUAGUUGAAUGAUUAAAAGUAGUUGGUUAACUGAAUUUUCUGCCUGUUUCAUUUAAUUUUAAUCCUAUUUUUAUGACUAUGUGUGUUAUAGCUUUGGAUGAUUUGAAAUGAUAGUUGUUUAGCUCAUUAAAGCAUGCUAUAGAUGUAGUUAAGAUCAAUGAAAAUCAGUCAUUAAAAUAGCAUCAUGUCGAGCUCAAUUGAUUUCUCUCUCUAAUUGAUUUUGCUGUGCUUGUGCUUGAUUUAGUGAGCAUAUGAGUUUCUUUUGGAUGUUCUUUACUCAUUAAAAAUAGUUAUGGUGUUAUUUAGAUGUUGAGAUUGAAUGAGAGUCUACUGGAAUUAGAGUAAUUACUGUGAAGUGGACCUAGGAAGUGUUGGUUCUGAAAUAAAAUCCUAAUUAGCGUUUAACCAAGCUCAAAUAUCCAAGAGUACAAAAAUGGCUACUACUAUAAAUUAUUGAUUUUGAUUAGCUUAGCGUCAAGUACAAAAUGUUAUCUGCAAGUUGUUACACUCCGCAGUAUUACAACGAUGUUAUACUCCGUAGUAUUGUACGUUGGAUUUGUCAUAAAUUGACAUUAGUUUAAGGACAAGAUUAUUUUGAGGUUAUAAGUAUUACGUUAUUUCAAACAAGUGAUAAGUAAAUUCGUGAAGGUGAGAGGGUAAGCAAUUCGAAAAAAAUGAGUUUCGUCGAAGUUUGACAAUUUGGGAUAAAAUGCGGUCCAAACUAUAAUAUCCCGUAUUUAUGGACUAGUGCCAUACAAAGUACCAUAUGACCAUGAUAGUAAAGUGUAUAAAGUGUGUUAAAAGUAAUUAGUAUUUUAAGUAAUUUGAAAUAAUUCUUAAUUAUGUGGAUAAUUGGUAAUUUUUGAUUUUUAGUGGGUGAGUUAACAAGGUAAUUAAUUUUGGUGGAUAAGCUUAAAGGGACAUCACCCUCAACGUAGCAGCAAGGGGACUUAAGCAUCAAUGACUCUUUGGUGUAUAUAAUUAGGUGGCAUAUUUAGAGAUUUUUGGGAAAAAUAAUCCCCAAAAGUGGGCCCCACAAACUUCAAAGAUAAGAGAUAUUCAUACAUCAUUUAAGAGGGAUGUGCAUGUUGGUUAAGUAACGGAUGAAGCCUCCAAAAUAAUUCAUAUGGAACUUCAUAAUACUAUAGCAAUGUAAGAUUUGCGAUUCUAAGGAAAUACGGUGUAAUCUUUCUCAAGAAUAUCAUACGGAUUUUUUCCUAUUCCGAUCUCGCCGUUACUUGUUUCUUCGCGAUUGGCGUGUGUUAGAGUGAUUGUCAAGAGAAUCGGCUCAGGUAUGUUAAGACUAUCCCUUCUUUCCUUUUGGUAUGAUACAUACGAUACAAACGAAAUGAGCAAACGUACAUCUUUCAUAAAUACCUCUAUUCAUAGAAGCACUAGGGGUGCCUAUGUUCUUGAUUUCCCAUGUGUCUUAUUAUAUCUUCUGUUCAUGGGUCUCGAAAAAGAAAUGCGUAAUUGAUAAAGUUUAUCCGAAGACAUAUUGAUCUUAUGACAUUCCGAGAAAUCUUAUUAACUUAUUUCUUAUGCAUUUCAUUCAUUUAUACAUGUGCAUUGACGCAUGACCAGAUGACGUUAUAUAUGCGUAUAUUAUAUGUAUAUGGGAUAUUGAAAAAGGUUACGACAUUAUAUACGCACCACCAACUGAUCAGCUGUUAUACGUUGAUGAUUUUGCCUACAGUGGCCGAGAUGAUAUGAUGGGAUGCCCUCAGAGACUUGAUGAUGUUAUGUACGCAUAUACCUAUGCAUGACAUGACAUUUAUACGCACGUGCAUGGCAUUAUAAAUAUUUCAGGAUUCACAAAGUUAUUUAGACUUAUAGGUGGAAUUCUUUACUCCACGUUUCUUUUAUGUCUUUUAUGUACUUAUUUUCAUGCCUUACAUACUCAGUACUUUUUUUGUACUGACGUCCCUUUUGCCUAGGGACGAUGCGUUUCAUGCCCGCAGGUACCGAUAGACAAGUUGAGAAUCCUCCAAGUAGGCUAUCAAUUCAGUAGAAGGUGUUGGUGCACUUCAUUAGCUCCGGAAUUGCCUAUUUAGUUAGUAUGAUUUGGACAUGUAUGGAUUGGUAUAGCGGGGCCCUAUCUCGACCUUUAUGACAUUUAUGUACUCUUAGAGGCUUGUAGACAUAUGUCAUGUAUAUGGAUACUUGUAUGUCCUUGUAGGCCUAUGGUGUGAGUAUACAAAUGAUCAUGUCGGCCUUAUAGGCCCGUAUGUCAUAUGUAUAAGUCGGUACAUCACGUUGGGUCGUCCUAUGUCGAGUAUUUCCCUCAUGUUUUAUUCUAGUUAUGUCACGACAGCCCUUCCAGCUCAUUUACCUAUGAUAGUAUGAUACGACAGAUACGUUACGUUGGUACUCGGUUGAGUAAGGUACCGGGUGCCCGUCGUGGCCCAUCGGUUUGGAUCGUGACAAAAGUGGUAUCAGAGCAGUUCUGUCCUAGGAAGUCUACAAGUCGUGUCUAUAGAGUCUUAUUUAUGGGUGUGUUGUGUACCACACUUAUAAGCUGGAGGCUACAGGGUAUUUAGGACUGUCACUCUUUCUUCUUACUCUAGAUCGUGUGGUAGAGCUAACUUAUAAGAAUUCAAAUUCCUAAAUUCUAUUUUAUUCGUAGUAAGACGAUACCUACAUCCAAAGGAUAAUUAGUAAGAGGCUGCAUGUGGUUGUGGAAAAGUUGGGUUAGAGAAACUCGAUUUUGCCAUUCUUAUAAUGUAUAAAUGUGAGGUCUUCAGCAGAACAUGUGUAUACUAAGACGUGUAAGCUUCUUGAUAAGGAGUCUUAAGGCAAGAAUAUCUAUCCACCCAUAUGGUGAAAAGCAAUGAGAGAUUCAGAAGGUAGAUACAAGUUUCAACAAGUAAAAGAAUCAAGGUGAGGAAGGGUACGAGGCACCCAGUUAAUGAAAAUUAUCAGUAUUUACAAUUCAGGCAGAGAAAUAUAAGCAUUUUGAGUUAACUUCAAUAGUAACAGAUGUAUGUACAAUCGGCCACACUUAUCUCAGUUAUGCCCUAUGGGAGCUAACAGAUAUAGUUUAAGAGAAGGACGGGACAUCAGGAUCUGGCUGGGGUUAGAGUAACCCAAAAUGGUGGAUGGAUUGUUUACGUUAGUUGACAUUUCCGAAGGAUAUUGCAAAUGUGCUAAUAGAUCUCCUUGUGAGACACCCAGAUGGUGCACUCUAGAAUAGUAUAGCUAGAUAUGCAAAGAUAGGCAUCGAAAGUCGGAAGGGAUAAAUAUUACCUUAGUGUGGCUCCCGUCCCUAGUAGAGAGAGAAUGUUAGGUAACCCAAAGAGGUAGUGGAUGGAGCAAGAGGAGCUAAAAGGAAAAGAAUGUCUUGUUGAAGUUUUCAGAAUAAAGUGAUAGACAGAAAUAUUAGCAGGGAAAUAAGAAAAGAGAUAAUGAAGCAUUAUGAGUAAGAUGUGAUACAUGGAUGACAACGGUAGAUAAAAAAAAUGAUAGUAUUACAGAGUCUAUAGUCAAGUGAAGGAAAAGAUGAGAGGUGACAGGCCUUGAGACAACAAAAGAGUAUAGGCCAUAAUGUCAUAUCCUCAUUUUGAGAAAUAAGUUCGUGACUCCAACGCGACUACCAGAACGAAAAGUUAGACACCAGAGUAAUAGAAAUCAGUAUGAGCUGGUGAACAAGAUAAACUAAACAUGAAUUAAGGACUGAGUGAUUUGAUAAUAGUCGGCAUCAUGAGAAUUUCAGAGAUUGUGUUCCGGCGAUAAUAGAAUGGGCGACAGAAGAAUAACCUUUAAAGGUCAUUCAGGAAGACGCUUCCCUAAAGCAAGCAAUGUGAGCAAAGUUAAGCUUAAGGGACUAUGUGUGCCAGUUACACUAGGUGUCUCCCUCGUGAGUAAGGAAUUUUGUUGUCCUUGGUACAAAAGGAUUUCUGCAAGGCGAGUCAGGGUCAUCGAUGAUGUGAAAAGACGCCAAAGAUGAAGAGGUAAAAUAUCUAUACGUAGAUCAUCGUAGUACUAAAUCUUAGUACUCCCCUAAGGGGAGGGGGGGAUAUGGAGUGAUGUGGCAUUAAGUCAGAGUUAAGUGGUUCUAGAAACUAUGGAAUAAUAAAGGAAGAAUGCGAUAAAAAUGAGAAAGGGAGGAGAUUGCACUUAUUCAAACCCUACAGAUAUGCUACGAUCCCAUAACAUUAUACAAACACGGCGUCAAGGAGAAGAAGUAAGGGUUCCUAUGCGAGAUGUUAUUGAUAAAUAAGGAGCCAGUGCGAGAGGUAAGUUAAGGCAAAGGAAAUAACCCAAGAAAGAUUACGCGGAAUAUUGAUAUGAUAAUGGGCCAAUGAGUAGUUAGUAGUAAUUAAGGAAGAGCCUAAUUAUGGCUAGACAAGAGGAUACAAACAAAUCCACAGAUCGUGCAAGAUAAACAUAGUGAACCCCGACAUAGUUAAUUCAGUCUCGCAGAUAAUGAUAUCGUGAUCCUUAAAAAAUUUUCAAAUAAGAGUUGGGGUAGUUAAAUGCACUAGUUAAGUUUUACGAAAAUAAGAAAGAGUACCACUAAGGAGACAAUCAAAAUCUGAGUUCAGAAGUAAUCCUACGAGCACAAGGGUACAGAGGUAUGUAACUACGAAUAUUUAUAGGCGAGUAAGAACAUCGAAAAUUCCUUCGGGUAUACAAUAUAACGAGCAAUUUUACAAGAGUUAGAGGGUCUUCCCUAAGUACUACAACGAAAGACUAGCUGAGGAAAUAAGGAAGAAGGCUUCAACCUAAGCACAACGACCUAAAGAGGAAAUGGUCUUGUAAUAACAAUCUCACAACAACAUUGUAUGCACUCCAUAAGAAAGUGGCACCUAUCGUGGCUAAUGAACGGGAAGAAGAAAAAAAAUCAGAAGGUGAUAUUCAAGAUCAUAUGGCUUGUAUGGAAUUCCAAUAUGUGUGGGCACUAAGAUAAGCCAAGUAUUCAUGCAACAAGUGGCAGAACGACCAGGAAAAGUAAUUGCUUACAUUUAAAGAAAGUUGAGAAGGAACGAAAGGAAUUAUUUGAUCAAUGAUCCAGAGUUAGUUACGUUAUGAAUGCACUUAAGAUUUCGGAGUAUGGUAGAGAGACAAGGUUUUAGGAAGACAUGAGUAAGGAUAAGAAAAGGUGAGUGAGAAGGUGAUGAGAAUGGAUAAGUACUCGGGAUUAAGCCCAUGAAAACAAGAGCUCUGAUGGUUUCUCUAAGUUAUAGAAAGCUCAGUAUAACCUGAAUGAACUCAAAGGAGUCUAAGACUAGUAGCAUUUAGAAGAGAUGAAAUACUGCCCUGGUAGUAGAAUGAGGGUGUAAUUGUGAUAGAUAAAGGAUGAUGUUGGGCCUUCGAUUGAGUAAUGAUUUGAAGAAAAAAAAGGGAUUUCAUGAAUUAUAUAGGAUUAAAAUACCCCCAUAAGAUGAACCACGUAGGGAUGCCAUGAAAUGCGGUUAUUGAAGUAUAGUAUCGUCCCUAAGUGGAUCAGGAAAAUCACUUCAAAUAUUCCUCGAUGCAACGUGAGCCCUAGUGACAAUAUAUUACGUAAGAGGUUUCAAGUUAUCGGUGGUAGAUUGUAUAUCAAUAUUGAGGUGAAUCAACAAUAGAUGGAUAAAAGUUACAAAGUAUGAGAUGAUAUUAGGCCGUCAUUCUUAAGAUGAACAGUAAUGAGGAAGCAUUAAAGGACUUAGAUUUAUACAUAUAGGAUAAGCAAAGAGAGUAACCUGGAGUUUGGUAGCAGACCUUAGUAACGGUAAAUCGAAGUAAGAAUUAUGGUAUAGUAUGACCUACUUAGAUGUAGUAAAGCCAUAGAUGCCCAUAGGGACAACUUGUCAUAAUUUUGUAUAUGUUCACAAAGUGAGGCCUAGAGAUUGGCUAAAAGCUGGAGGGAAGAGUCGCAUAGGCGCACAUACAAGGAAAAAGUCGCACAGGCUGCAUGACAGAAGGUAGCAAGUGCUAGGAGAUUGGAGGAAUUUCGACCACAGGCUGUGGUGUGAGAAGGAGGCCUAAAGGUGGGAAUGCCCUAGACUUUGGAUUUAUUCACAGAACAGUUCCCUAAAUGGCAAGGAAAGUAUUAAAAUAAUUCGUAAAAGCUAUCCGGUUAUGAGACCGAUAAGUACAUCAGUCAACAUUCGAGGACGAAUAUUCCAAAGGGGGAAAUGAUGUUACACUCCACAGUAUUACAAUGAUGUUGCACCCCGUAGUAUUGUACGUUGGAUUUGUUGUAAAUUGGUAUCAGUUCAAGGAUAAGAUUAUUUUGAGGUUAUAAGUAUUACGCUAUUUCAAACAAGUGAUAAGUAAAUUCGUGAAGGUGAGAGGGUAAGCGAAUCGAAGAAAAUGAGUUUCGUCAAAGUUUGACAAUUUGGGAUAAAAUACGGUCCAAGCUAUAAUACCCUGUAUUUAUGGACUAGUGCCAUACAAGGUACCACAUAACCAUGAUAGUAAGGUGUAUAAAGUUUGUUAAAAGUGAUUAGUAUUUUAAGUAAUUUGAGAUAAUUCUUAAUUAUGUGGAUAAUUGAUAAUUAUUGAUUUUUAGUGGGUGAGUUAACAAGGUAAUUAAUUUUGGUGGAUAAGCUUAAAGGGACAUCACCCUCAACGUUGAAGCAAGGGGACUUAAGCAUCAAUGACUCUUUGGUGUUUAUAAUUAGGUGGCAUAUUUAGAGAUUUUUGGGCAAAAUAAUCCCCAAAAAUGGGGCCCACAAACCUCAAAGAUAAGAGAUUUUCAUACAUCAUUUAAGAGGGAUGUGCAUGUUGGUUAAGUAACGGAUGUAGCCUCCAAAAUAAUUCAUAUGGAACUUCAUAAUGCUAUUGCAAUAUAAGAUUUGUGAUUCUAAGAAAGUACGGUGCAAUCUUUCUCAAGAAUACCAUACAGAUCUUUUCCUAUUUCGAUCUCGCUGUUACGUAUUUCAUCACGAUUGGCAUGUGUUAGAGGGAUUGUCAAGAAAAUCGGCUCAGGUAUGUUAAGGUUAUCUCUUCUUUCCUUUUGGUAUGAUUCGUACGAUACAAACGAAACGAGCAAACGUACAACUUUCAUAAAUACCUCUAUUCAUAAAAGCAAUAGGGGUGCCUAUGUUCUUGAUUUCCCAUGUGUCUUAUUAUAUCUUCUGUUCAUGGGUCUCGAAAAUAAAUGCGUAAUUGAUAAAGUUUAUCCGAAGACAUAUUGAUCUUAUGACAUUCUGAGAAAUCUUAUUAACUUACUUCUUAUGCAUUUUAUUCAUUUAUACUUGUGCAUUGACCCAUGACCAGAUGCCGUUAUAUACGCGUAUAUUAUAUGUAUAUGGGAUAUGGGAAAAGGUUACGGCGUUAUAUACGCAUCACUACCUGAUCAGCUGGUAUACGUUGAUGAUUUUACCCACAGUGGCCGAGAUGAUAUGAUGGGAUGCCCUUAGAGGCUUGAUAAUGUGAUGUACGCAUAUACCUAUGCAUGACAUGACAUUUAUACGCACGUGCAUGAUAUUAUAAAUGUUUCAGGAUUCACAAAGUUGUUUAGACUUACAGGUGGAAUUCUUUACUCUACGUUUCUUUUAUGUCUUUUAUGCACUGAUUUUCAUGCCUUAUAUACUCAGUACUUUAUUUGUACUGACGUCCCUUUUGCCUAGGGACGCUGCGUUUCAUGCCCGCAGGUGCCGAUAGACAACUUGAGAAUCCUCCAAGUAGGCUAUCAACUCAGUAGAAGGUGUUGUUGGUGCACUCCAUUUGCUCCAGAGUUGCCUAUUUGGUUAGUAUAAUUUGGAGAUGUAUGGAUUGGUAUGGCGGGGCCUGUCCCGACCUUUAUGACAUUUAUGUACUCUUAGAGGCUUGUAGACAGAUGUCAUAUAUAUGGAUACUUGUAUGUCCUUGUCGGCCUAUGGUGUGAGUAUACAAAUGAUCAUGUCGGCCUUAUAGGCCCGUAUGUCAUAUGUAUAAGUCGGUACAUCACGUUGGGUCAUCCUAUGUCAAGUAUUUCCCUCAUGUUUUAUUCCAGUUAUCUCACGACAGCCUUUCCGGCUCAUUUACCUAUGAUAGUAUGAUAUGACAGAUACAUUACGUUGAUACUCGAUUGAGUAAGGUACUGGUUACCCGUUGUGGCCCAUCGGUUUGGAUCGUGACACAAGUGCUAAGUUGUAAUCGAUUUUAUUAUUGGUCAUGCUUGUGGUGAUAUUUGUAUGAAUUCAUGCUAAAUUUGCAAUGAGUUGUAAUUAACCUUUGGAAAUCAGUUUAAAAAGGGUUUGGUUUCCAAAGGUCAUUGAGCCCAAGAUGAGGCAUAAGUCAGACGGGCCUGAACUCAUCUGAAUAUGUGAGCCCAUUAGGCUUCACAGUUCAUCAGCGGGCCUAGUUCCCGUACAUUUGGACAUGGACCAAUGCCAUUGCCUAGGCAUAAAGGCUGGUUCAUUUCGACCCAGCAGUCUUUCGAUCAUGGUGGUAGCCUAAUGUCGUCGCUUGUGCAGUGGACUGGGGCCUUCUGUGAUCCAGCAUAUGUCACGACCCAAAUCCCUCUUUAGAAGUCGUGAUGGUACCCGGUCUCCAAACUAAAUAAGCCGGGCACUUAACAUUAUUUAGAAUAAUAAAAGCAUGAUUUAAGGAAAACAGAAUUUAAAAUAAAUGCAGAAAUAGGAGUAAUACAUGCCAAAGCGGCAAUACUCAACAUAACUUCCUAGAACUAGGUGGUACAGAGUCACAAGCUCUAACUAAAUACACGAGAAUAUCUCAAAAAUACGGUACAGUCUGAAAUACAAAUAUUGUAGAAAUGAAAAAAGAGCGUGACUCCGAGGCAUGCAGUACCUUGAAGUCUCUGGUGUAUCAAAUGCCUCACUGCCGAUCAGCUCGAUCCGAAGUACCGGAUCUACACAAAAUAUGCAGAAUCGUAGUAUAAAUACACCACAAUCGGUACCAGUAAGUAUCAAGACUAACCUCGUUAGAGUAGUGACGAGGUUCAAGUCGUUUGAUACUCACUAGACAAAUAACCCGUGUAAUGAAUAUAAUAAAAAAAACUGAUAAUAGAAAUAUAAUGAAAAAUAGUAACAACAACCCCUUUAGAGCAUGCGAUAACAACUCAGAAUUAUAAGCAUAUCUUUGAUCCCAAAACAUCAAAUAGAGGUGAGGCAUGUGAUAACAUGUCAAAUGCAAUCAUUAACUCAAUUAAAGAAAAAACAGAAGCUUUCAGAAAUAAUUAUGAAAUAAAAUUAGCAACCCCGUCUCAACACAACCAUAACAACAAUAAGGACACCUCGAAAUAUCACAUAACAUCAUCAACAAUGAUACCCUUAUUACGCCGCAUGUGCACAUAAAAAUGAAAUGCCACCCUUAUUUCGCCACAUGCAUACAUAGCCACCCUUAUUUCGCCAUGUGGGCAGUCCAAGAUAACGCCACCCUUAUUUCGCCCCAUGCGCACAACAAUAAACACAAUCGCAUGGCAAAAACCUCGUGCUGACACCCCCAAUCAAUCUUCUCAACAUGUCCACAAGUGCCACAACACCUCAAAACCGUAAUACCAAGUGCCACAAUUUUGCAAAUAAUGAUACCAAAGUUCCACCAUGAUGUAAGAUCACAACUUUCAACAACAGUGCACAUGGAUAUAACAAUAAAGCAGAGGGGUAUACAAUUAAUAUAGCUUGACUAUGGUUAAGUCAAUGUAAUGAUCAUGAUAAAAUGAUCAUUAAAGAAUCUCAACAUGUUGCAUAUAAAGUUCACUAUCACAUUAAGGCAUAUUAAUAUCGUAUGGUCUAUUCCGAUCAAACCACACAUAGUACCCAUAUAUAUGCUUGUCACCUCAUGUACACGUCACUUUUACAUCAUAGAAAUCAACAUAACAGGACUAGCCCCUAAGGGGUAUUCCCCCACACAAGGUUAGGCAAGAUACUUACCUCAAAGAAGCUAAAUCAACACUCUAAGAAGCCCUUCCCGCGUGAAACAACCUCCGGACGAAUCGAAUCUAGACAAAAUAACUUAAUAUCAUAAAUAAAAGCCAUAGAAAAUGAUUCAGAAUAAUAAAGUUUCGAUCUUUAACUAAAAACAAAAGUCUACUGAAAAAGUCAAUCCCAGGCUCGCACCCCGGAACCCGACAAAAUUCAUAAAUCCUACACAUAUUCCGAUACGAGUCCAACCAUAUCAAUUACAUCAAAUUCCGACCUCAAAUCGGCUUUCAAAUCAUCAAUUUAUGUUUUAGAAAGUUUUUACUAAAAUUCCCACUUUCUUCAAUUUGAUUCAUCAAAUAAUUGUUAAAUUCAAGGUUGGAAUCAUGAAAUAUAAACAAUUCCGAGUCAAAUAUAUUUAACCCAAUCCAAAUCAUGAAAAUUUCCUCCAAAAUCGUACAAAUCCGAGCUCUAUAACUCAAAAUAUGAUAAAAUAACAAAAGUCCUCGAAAUAGAGUAUUAAAUAAGCCUGCCUAGGUAUACACAUUGUGAACGCGGGAUCCUCAUCGCAUUCGCAAAGACCAAAAAUCAUCUUCCCGAAAAAGGCAUUCGCGUCCGCAUUCACCCCAUCGUGAACGUGAUGAAGAAAAUAUCUAAACCUUCACAAACACGGCUUGGACCUCGCGAACAUGGCUUGGACCUCGCGAACGCAUAGGCGAAACUCCUCCCAGCACCCGGCCACUUUGCGAACACGGAGACCGAUCGCGAACACAAAAAAGGGCGACUGCCCAGCUCCCUCUAACCCUGUGCAAAUGCGACCACCAUGUCGUGAAUGCGAAGAAGGAAACCAGACCUGAAAAAAGUAGCAGUCCAAAAUAAGAUGGAAUUGUCUGAAACCCAUCCUAAACACACCCGAGGCCCCCGGGAUCCCGUCCAAUCACACAAAGCUAUCCAAAAACAUAACAUGAACCUACUCGAGGACUCAAAUCACACCAAAUAACAUCAAAACUACGAAUCACACCUCAUUUCAAGCCUAAUAAACUAAUGAACUUUCAGCAUCUAAAACGCAUGUCGAACUGUGUCAAAUCAAUUCGGAAUGACUUCAAAUUUUGCGUAUAAGUCCCAAAUGACACAACGGAUCUAUACCAACUCUCAGAAGCACAAUCUGAACCCGGUAUCAACAAAGUCAACCCUCGUUCAAACCUAUCAAUCUUCCAAACCUUCAACUUUCAAACUUUCGCCAAGUCAAGCCAAAACAACCUAGGAAUCUCCAAAUCUAAAUCCAGACAUACGAACCUAUUGGAACCAUCAAAAUACCAUUCUGAGGUCAUCUAUACAAAAGUCAAACUUUGGUAAACUCUUACAACUUAAGCCUCCAACUAAGGGACUAAGUGUUCCAAAUCAAUUCAAACUCUCCCGAAACCACACCAAUCAACCCCGCAAGUUACGUAACCAUAAAUACACAUAUGUAAAGCAUCAAAUAGGGGAAACGAGGCUAGAAUACUCAAAACGACCGGCCGGGUCGCUAUAUUCUCUCCCUCUUAAAUACACGUUCAUUCUCGAACGAGUAUAAAGACAUACUUGAAGCAAAAAAAAAAGAAGAGGAUAGUGGCUCCGCAUAUCAUGCUUGGUCUCCCAAGUCACCUCUUUAACCGGUUGACCUCUUCACAGAACCUUCACCGAUGCAAUGUUCUUUGACUUCAACUUCCAGACCUGCUUGUCCAAAAUAGCCACCGGCUCAUCAACAUAGGUCAAAUCCUUGUCUAACUACACUGAGCUGAAAUCUAACACAUGUGACGGAUCACCAUAAUACUUCCGGAGCAUGGAAACAUGAAAGACAGGAUGAACUUCCGAUAAGCUGGGUGGCAAAGCAAGUUUGUAGGCCACCUCACCCACUCUCUCAAGAAUCUCAAAAGGGUCAAUAUACCGAGGGCCCAACUCCCCUUCUUCCCGAAUCUCAUAACACCCUUCAUGGGUGAAACUCUGAGUAAAACCCUCUCACCCACCAUGAAUGCCACAUCACGAGCCCUCAUAUCAGCAUAACUCUUCUGCCUGGACUACGCUGCACGAAGCCGCUCCUGAAUCAACUUCACCUGAUCCAAACCAUCACGGACCAAGUCAGUGCCCAAUAACCUAGCCUCCCUAGGCUAAAACCAAUCAACUGGAGAACGACAUCGCCUCUAAUAUAAGGCCUCGAAUGGAUCCAUCUAGAUGCUCGACUAAUAGCUAUUGUUGUAAGCAAACUCUACGAGUGGUAGAGACUGAUCCCAUAAACCCCGAAAUCGAUAACACAUGUACGUAACAUGUCCUCCAAUAUUUAAAUAGUGCACUCGGACUGUCCGUCCAUUUGGGGAUGAAAUAUCGUACUCAGCUCGACCUGCAUGCCUAACUCUCACUAAAUAGCUCUCCAAAAAUAUUAUUUAGAAUUAAGAAUCGUGAUGACACCUAAUCUCCAAACUAGGUAAGCCGGUCACAUAAUAUUAUUUAGAAAAAGUAUGAUUUAAUGAAAACAAAAUUUAACAUAAAUGCAGAAAUAGGAGUAAUAUAGGCCAAAGUGGCAAUACUCAACUUAACUUUCCUGAACUAGGUGGUACAGAGUCAUAUACACUAAUUGAAUACAAGAAAAUAUCUCAAAUAUAUGGUACAGUCCGAAAUACAUAAACUGUAGAAAUAAAAAUAAGAGGGUGACUUCGAGGCCAGCGAUCAGAUCAUGCAGGGAUAUCUUGAAGUCUCCAGUGUAUCAAGUGUCUCACUGUUGAUCAGCCCAAUCAAAAGUACCUUGAUCUGCAAAACAUAUGCAGAAGCAUAGUAUGAGUACACCACAAUCGAUACCUAGUAAGUAUUAAAACUAACCUUGGUGGAGUAAUGACGAGAAUCAAGUUGUUUGAUACUCACUGGACAAAUAACUUGUGCUAUGAAUAUAUCAAAGAAAACUAAUAACAGAAAUAUAAUGGAAAAAUAGUAACAACAACCCCUUUAGAGCGUGCGAUAACAACUCAUGAUAAUAAGCCCAUCUUUGAUCCCAAAACAUUAAAUAGAGGUGACGCAUGUGAUAACACGUCAAAUGUAGUCCUUAACUCAAUUAAGGGCAAAACAAAACUAUUCAGAAACAAUUAUGAAAUAAAAUUAACAAUCCCUCUCAACACAAUCACAACAAUAAUGAGGACAUCCCGAAAUAUCACAUAAUAUCAUCAACAACGCCACCCUUAUUUCGUCCCACGCGCACAACAAUAAACACAAUCGCACGUCAAAAAUCUCGUGCUGACACCCCCAAUCAAUCUUCUCAACAUGUCCACAAGUGCCACAACACCUCAAAAUCGUAAUACCAAGUGCCACAAUUUCGCAAAUAAUGAUACCAAAGUUCCACCAUGAUGUAAGAUCAUAACUUUGAACAACAGUGCACAUGGAUAUAACAAUAAUCAUAAAAGCAGAGGGGUAUACAAUUAAUAUAGCUUGACUAUGGUAAAGUCAAUGUAAUAAUAUUGAUCAAAUAUUCAUAAAAGAAUCUCAACCUGUUUCAUAUAAAGUUUAUUAUCACAUUAAGGCAUAUUAAUAUCUUACGGUCUAUUCCAGUCAAAACCACACAUAGUACCCGUAUACAGGCUCGUUACCUCAUGUACACGUCACUAUCACAUAAUAGAAAUCAACAUAACAUGACUAGAACCUAAGGGGUAUUCCCCCCUCCCCCUCCCUCUCACAAGGUUAGGUAAGAUACUUACCUCAAGGAAGCUAAAUCAAUACUCUAAGAAGUCCUUCCCGAAACAACCUCUGGGCGGCUCGAAUCUAGCCAAAAUAACUAAACAUCAUAAAUAAAAUGCGUAGGAAACGAUUUCGAAUAAUAAAGUUUCGAUCUUUAACUAAAAUAAAAAUUCAACCCCGGGACUGCACCACGUAACCCGAAAAAACGUACAAAUUUUGAACGCUUAUUCCGAUACGAGUCAAACCAUAUCAAUUACAUCCAAUUCCGGCCUCAAAUUGACCUUCAAAUUAUUAAUUUAUGUUUGAGAAACGUUUUUGCUAAAAUCCCCAAUUUUUUUUAAUUUUAUUCAUCAAAUAAUCGCUUAAACAAGGUUGGAAUCAUGAAAUAUAAACAAAUUCGAGUAAAAACAAUACUUACCUAAUCUAGAUCGUGCAAAUCCCUUCCAAAAUUGCCAAAAUUCGAGCUUUACAACUCAAAAUGUGAUAAAAUAACAAAAGUCCUUGAAAUAUAGUAUUAAAUAGGUCUGACCAAAAAUCAUCUGCUGGAAAAAGGCCUUCGCGUUCGCGUUAGCGUUCGCCCCAUCGCGAACGUGAUGAAGAAAAUACCUAAGCCUUCAUGAGGCCAAACUCCUCCCAGCACCCGGCCAUUUAGUGAAUGCGGAGCUCGAUCGCGAACGCAAAGAAGGGCGACUGCCCAGUCCUCUAUAACCCUCCACGAAUGCGACCGCCAUGUCGCAAACGCGAAGAAGGAUACCAGACCUGAGAAAAUCAGCAAUCCAAAAUAAGGUGGAAUGGUUCGAAACCCAUCCAAAACACACCCGAGGCCCCCGGGACCCCUUCAAAUCACAUCAACCAUUCCUAAAAUAUAACAAUACCCUACUCGAGGCCUUAAAUCACACCAAACAAUAUCAAAACUAUGAAUCGAACCGCAAUUCAAGCUUAAUGAACUAAUAAAAUUUCAACUUCUAAAACUCAUGACGAACCAUGUCAAAUCAACUCGGAAUGACCUCAAAUUUUACAUGCAAGUCCCAAAUGAUAGAACAAACCUAUACUAACUCUCGGAACCAUAAUCCGAACCCGAUAUAAAUAAAGUCAACCCUCGGACAAACUUAUCAUUCUUUCAAACCUUCAACUUUCCAACUUUCGCCAUUUCAAUCCAAAACAACUUAGGAACCUCCAAAUCCAAAUCCGGAUGUACGCCUAAGUUCAAAAUCACUAUACAAAACUAUUGGAACCAUCAAAAAUAUUAUUUUGGGGUCAUCUAUACAAAAAUUAAACUCCGAUCAACUCUUACAACUUAAGCCUCCAACUAAGGGACUAAGUGUCCCAAAUUAAUCCAAAACUCUCCCGAAACCACACCAAUCAACCCCGCAAGUUACGCAAUCAUAUAUAUAUAUNNNNNNNNNNNNNNNNNNNNNNNNNAUGCUAUCAAACAUUGCCAUACACUCCAAAAACGGGAAUAAUUCAAAUCGGCCAACUUUCCAUUUCGAAUAAUUACCUAAUAAAUUUGUGUAAUUCGUAAAACGAUUCGCCCCUUCUCUUAAGUUCAUAAUCCCGUUAAUUGUAUUUGCCAAAAUUCUAUGUGACAAACCUUUAUUGGUAGUUUAGUGGCACCAUAUACCUAUACUAUUGAAACUUCCCACAAUGAAUCUUACACCUUUUCUAUAAUGCAAUAUCCAUAACUUUAUACCUCACAAAAAUCUCAAAUUAGAAAUUACUCAUGACAUGCUAGUUACUCCUAGGCACGUAUAAAUAAUUAAUUAUCAUGAUUAUGAGUAUGAUUUUUGUUACGCCCCAAACAGGGAAGGCAUGGCCGACACCUGGUGCUAUACUUGACCCCGUGAGUACUACUCUGUUACUGUAAACUCUGGGGGUAAUCUUCAACUUAGGAUGACAAGGACUACCUGCCAACAGACAAUGCCAACAAAGGCUGUCGAGGCCAUAUUCUGAAUUAUCUAAAAAUAAUUUCCAUCUCAUCUGAAAGGUAAACAUAUGCAAAAACUCAUAUACAUAACUGUACAGUCCGAUGAGCAUAUACAAGGGACAUCAAGGCUGCUAUACUGACAUACAGACAUACAUAACUUGUCUUUAAGCCUCUAGAGAUAACAAAACUAUAUCAUGGUCAGACCUAUCCAUCAAGUAUGUUUAUACAAAAUGGACUUCAAAGUCUAGACCUGGUAACUUUGGGGGAGUAGAGCUUACCGAUCAAGAUAAUGUCUAGCUCUGUCUGCUAGAAAGGUCUAUCUGGCUUCCCAUUAGAACUUGCAGACAUGAAAUGCAACGUCCCUCUGCAAAAGGGACGUCAUUACAAAAUAAUAUACUGAGUUUGUAAGACAAUAUAAUAACUGAAAGCUGAAACUAAACUGAAGUACAUAGUAAUCUGGAACCCAAAGAAUGCUCUAAGACAUACUCACAUGUUCCGACUCAAAACAAUAUAAUAUAGUAAUGUCAUAGCUAGCUGGCCACAUAUAUGGCUCGAUGUAUCUCUCACUGACCGUAAGGCCAGAAAAAUAUAAAGUCUUACUAACCAUAAGGCCAGGCAAUAAUAUCUAUCAUUGACCAAGUGGCCAGGCAAUAAUUUUUGUCACUGACCAUAAGGCCAGGAAAUAACAAUAUCUCAUUGACCAAGUGGCCAGAGUACAUAAAAUAUAUGUAUACGAUGCUGUAUGUCAUAUGUAUAGUAGAAUGUAUGGAUGUACGUAUGUAACUCUCUAUCUUUGUGCAACAUAAUGAAAUAACAUAAAGAGGAUGGGAACCUCUCUCAAUAAGAUACGAUGGAAGUAUAUGGAAAUAUGUGACACCUAUUGAGACAUAAAAUCUACAAUAUGUGUUCUCAUAUAAGAGUUAUCCAACUCGUACUUACUAUAAAUUCAUACCAAUGAAAGAAAAUGGAUAUCCAUAACAUACCUCUCUUCGUCUAUAUGAACACAAUAGAACAUGUCUCGAAUAGCACCUCAACCUAUAACAAUGACAAUACGUUCGUUAACUUAAAGAAUACUAGUAUACGAUGUAUAUCAAAUGAUAACUCAUUCCUAUAAAGAAUGCAGCAUCAUAUCCCCUUAUUUUAGUACUUUACCCAAGCCUACAUUAGGAAUAAUAAUGACUACAACCAGCAAACAACUCAACACCAAAGUAAUGAGCGACAAGCACGAUCUCAGAUUACUAAACGUCACGUUUCCAACUUCUCUUUUUUUUCUAAAUCGAGCAACACAACCAACAACACAUAACCAGCCCACUUACUACAUAAACCAGCCAUAAAUUUAACAUAGAAUUAAGCUCAUAAUCCGCCAAUCAGUAACGCAACAACAACAACAAUAAACGAUAAAAGGACUUUCGUCAACGAAAAGGAAAACUAGAAUAUAACGUAUUGAGCAACGAGCUCAUCUCAUAGCCACAACCAUAACCGUUUUUCUCCAUAAUCAUAAUAACAAGAGCAAAAACAACAAACCCAAGUUAUUCCCCAUAAUUUUCCAGCCAUAACAUAGCUCAAAAAAUCCCAAAAUAGCCCAACAAUUACAACACAUCAAACGAGGUUUUUACUCCAUUUAUCUUACAAGUUCUUUAACAACAAGAUAGCUCGACUUAGAUAAGAUCAAGAACAAGUAGAAGAAUAAUAAUCUCUCCUUCAAUCAGCAUGAACAUAUCCAACUCAAGCUUACUUCACCAUGAAAAAAUCUUCCAAAACAGCCACUAGAAGAAGAAUAACAAAUCUAUAAACCCCACAAGGUUUUUAGAUAUUGAUUAACUUUGAGAACCUUAGGAUUAGCUAUUGAACUAUUUGAGAACCUUUAGAGAGAGUUUUAGGGUGUAUAGAAACUAAUAUGAAAGAAAAAUGAGGUCUCCAAGUCGUUCUACCACUUUAUACAUCUUGAGAAUUUUCCACCGCCUAAGUGGGUCCCAAAGGGGCUGCCUGUGCAGUCUCGCAAAAAUGCAAAUAUCUCUCUACUACAACUUUUUAUUGAUAAAAGGUUUAAUGCAUUGGAACCUAGACUCGUAUGCCUUCAAUUUGGUGGUUGUAUCACAACGUAACUCUGCGUAUAUUGGGAGAAAAAUUCGGUGACAUUUGACCCAAAUUUUAGUACAAUUAUGAGCGUAACUUGCAAUAACUUUUGCCAACUUUUAUUUUACAACUUGUCUGAUAUCAAAACUCAACAUACAAAUUUUAUAUAAUUAAAGUACCUUAAAACACAACCUUCUUAGCAUAUUAAGCACUCCUAAUUUUAACCCAAAGUACGAGUUAUAAUAUCUUUGAUUCGUUUAGCUUCCAACCCUCACAAUACUUCCUUAACACAUGUUUUAACUCAUCAUUAUAUUUAUAGAGGUCCUUAAACUCUCCGUCUUAUAUUGAUUCAUUUAAGACGCAUUCUAACUUUGUUACCUUAUUCUAAAAACUUCAACAAAAUAUUCUUUCGCUUUUAGCUCUCCUUGCUCCAUCUCACUGGCUCUUUGGGUGGCCUAACAUUUCUUUUUACUAGGGACAGGAGUCAUACUAAAGUAAAUAUUUAUCCCUUCUAGGAUUUCAGUGCCUAUCUUCUGAAUUUUCUGAAUAUUCUAGUAUUCAUAUCUGACUCUACAAUUUUAGAAUGCACCACCUGGGUGUCUCACAAGGGUGACUAUUAUCACGUUUGCAAUAUCGUUCGAAAAUAUCAGCUAAUGCAAAUAAUCCAUCUACCAUUUUGGAUUACUCUAACCCCGCUGGAUUCUAAUUUUCAUCCUUCUCUUAAACUAUAUAUGUUAGCUCCCAUAAGGCAUAACUGAGAUGGGUAUGUCCAAUUAUACAUACCAUUAUUACUGUUAAAAGUAAACUCAGAAUGCUUAUAUUUGUUUGCCUGAAUUGUAAAUACUGAUAAUCUUCACUAACUGGGUACCUCGUACCCUUCUUCACCUUGAUUCAUUUACCUGUUAAAACUUAUACUUUUACCUUUUGAUACUCCCAUGGCAUGCUAUUCGUGGGGUGUGUUAGAUAUCCCCAUCUUAGGGUCUUAAGUAUAAAAUUUGCACAACAAGUAUGCACGAUCUGAUAGGGCCUCAAACUAGGCCACGAUGUCAAGGAACUCUCUCUCUUCUAGUGCCCUUAGCUAUUGUUGUAUUAGCCCUCUGGCUAGCUGUAAUUUUUCUAAUUGCAAGCAUCUCUCUAUCAUUAGCAAACCUAAGACCUGACUCAAAAACUCUUAUGGCUCAGAUCUAUAGCACGAUUGGGAUUUGAAAGAAGGGUAAGAGACUCCUAAAUGCCUUGUAGCUUCCUAUUUAUAUAAUGUGGUGAACAAUACAUCUAUAAUCAAGCCUACAGUAGACAUGGCUUGUAGACUCCCUAGGUCAGACUGUAAGGCACCGUAAAAUUUUCACAAAGGAAAUUAAGGUUUCGUGGUGCUGAACUAGGCUUACAUGUUUGAGGCUCAGACUUUUUUUGGGUUGAACAAUACGCUGGGGAGUAAAGGAAAACUUUCAGUAGAAAAAGAUAUUUAUGUGGCCCACUAUGUGACCGUAGAAUCACUCUUCGGACCGCAUAAUGGCGGCAGAGUAAAUCAGAGGCGGGGCAAGAAUGGAGGAAGGUCUGCGGUACACUAUGCGAUCGCAGACCAGUUAUGCGGUGCAUUAUGCGACCACAUAAUAGGUAUGCGGGCCGCAUAAUCACCGCAUACCCAACCAGACGACCCCAAUUUUGGAGCAUCAAUUAUGCGACCGAUAUGCGGGCCGCAUAAUGGUUCUGCGGUACGGUCUGCGAUCGUAGACCCGGUUUCGACAAUUUUAAGUUUUGGAAAUUUUACCCGCCUAUUUUUAUAAAAAGGCAUUGGGGGUCAUAUUUAAGGGUUUCAUCUGACAUUUUUAGAGAGAGGUGAGAGUAUCUUAGAGAGAGAAAGAGAAGACCUAGUCAUUUAUUCAUCAAUUCUUGCUCAAGGCUUGAAGAUUUCACAAGGAUCUUGCUAGGAUUCAAAGAGGUAAGAAUUUCUUCCCCCAAUUCUUCAAUUUCGAGUUUGGGUAUGAUAUGGGUAAUUUGGGAGUAUGAGUUUUGGAUAUGGGAAUUGUUAUUUAUCAUAUGCAUGGGCUAGUAGGGAUUAUGGGGAAGUUGUUGAACAAUCUUUGGUGAUUUUGGUGUUGAAUUAGUUGUGGAGUGAAGGAAAUCUUGUGGAUGAACUUUGUAGUGUAAUUUGCACACCUAGUGUUUGAUAAAAUGCUCAAGUGAGCUGGAACUAUGAAUUCCUUCCUAAUUUGUGUUCAAUUUUGGUUUAUGUCUAAAUAGAUUAAAUGGCUAAGAUUUUCAGAACAUUGUAGUAAAUUAAAAGGCUCGAAGUAAGGUAUGUUGGCUAAACUCCUCUCUUAGAAUUGAAUCUCAUGUUAUUCAUAUAAUUUAUAUAAGUCCCGAGUUGUUCAUUAUAAAUUUGGCUAUUCCGAAUAAGCUUGUGUUGAAAGAUAUAUGUUCAAUAUGUAUACCAAAUGCUUUUAUCGUGUUAUGUCAUCAUUUGAGAACAUGUUCAAAGUAUGGACUGUGCAUUUAAGAUGUUUCGACUUCAAGUCAAGUUCAAACGAAUGCUAUUAUGCCAAAUUUUGUGAAAAGUCUCUAUGUGUCUAAGACUCUUAAUUGCUCACAUGUGUGCUAAAAACCUUGAUUUGUAAUGCUUUGUUGUUGUUGAUGAUGUUGAUGUUUGAAAGUGAAAAAGGUAAGCAUGAAAUACUAAAUACAGCCGAUGUGCCAAGAAUAAUUUUAUAAUUGUGGCCACUAGUGCCAAUGAAAUAAAAAGAUGUGAAAGAGGUAUGAAACGAAUGAUUGGUAUAAAAGAAUGAUGUCUUGAAUGAGACGGCAUAGUCGAUCGGGUCGUGAUCGGAUGUCAUGCCGCGCAUAUGGUGGUGAUUGUGCUUGAAAUUAUAAUUUUGGUUGAUGUCUCGAAUGAGACUGCCUAGCCGAUCGGGUCAUGAUCGGACUCCGUGCUAAAAGUACGGUGGUAUUGAUAUUGUGAAAGGUGACAUUAUUGGUACUAAAAAUCUCCCAACUUAAGAUAUGGAAAUUAAUUUGAACACUAUCUUGAUACUAAUUUGAGGUUUGAUGUUGUUUGAGGCUUCCAUUGAUAUUAUGAUUAUUCUUGCUCGUAUUAUUUAUCAUUCUAUUGAGAGGGUGUUUUGUUAUUCAUACUAGUACUAUUCCAUAUGUACUAACAUCCCUUUUGUCGGGGGUGCUGCAUCUUCAAUGGAUGCAGGUGGUUCCACAGUAGGAGACAUUAAUCAUUGAUAGCGGUACAUCCUCUUCCCAGCAGACUUGGUGAGCCCCACUUUAUUUCGGGGUCAUGUAUCUUUUGUUCCUUGUGUAUUGUGUUUGAGAUAUAGGUGGGGCCUUAUUGCCGGCA